rfam:Nomascus leucogenys chromosome 8, whole genome shotgun sequence.
CCAAAGGCUCUUUUCAGAGCCAACCAUUUUGUCCAUGAAAAAAGCU